AACGCACAUUGCGCCCCCUGGUAUUCCGGGGGGCACACCUGUUCGAGCGCCAUUACAAACCUCAAGCCUUGCUUGGUGAUGGGCCCCGCCCGCGCGGCGGGCCCGAAACUCGUGGGCGCCCCAGGCCGGACUCCAAGCGUAGCAAAACCCUCGCUUGCGUGACCGGUCGGAGGCCGCCCCGGACCCCAAAUUUUAUCAAUGGUUGGCCUCGGAUCAGGUGGGGAUACCCGCUGAACUUAA
rnacentral:misc_RNA from 1 species